rnacentral:rRNA from 1 species
CACGAAGUUAGCCGGUGCUUAUUCUUUCGGUACCGUCAUCCCGUACGGGUAUUAACCACACGGAUUUCUUCCCGAACAAAAGUGCUUUACAACCCGAAGGCCUUCUUCACACACGCGGCAUUGCUGGAUCAGGCUUGCGCCCAUUGUCCAAUAUUCCCCACUGCUGCCUCCCGUAGGAGUCUGGGCCGUGUCUCAGUCCCAGUGUGGCUGAUCAUCCUCUCAGACCAGCUACCGAUCGUCGCCUUGGUGGGCUCUUACCCCGCCAACUAGCUAAUCGGGCAUAGGCUCAUCCGAUCGCGUGAGGCCCGAAGGUCCCCCACUUUCACCCGAAGGUCGUAUGCGGUAUUAGCGUAAGUUUCCCUACGUUAUCCCCCACAACCGGGCAGAUUCCUAUGCAUUCCUCACCCGUCCGCCACUCGCCGCCAGGGUUACCCCCGCGCUGCCGUUCGACUUGCAUGUGUUAGGCAUGCCGCCAGCGUUCAAUCUGAGCCAGGAUCAAACUCU